AAGGUUUUAGUGACUUGUAACGGGCCCAACCACCCUCGUUCAACAGGCUUCAUCUGUUCCGAAAUUUGAGUUUUCUGGUUUCGCUCUGUUAACUCUAAAAUAAGCUUUAGUCAUUACUUGAUCUUUGUUUUUUUAUACCACCAAUAACUUUCAAGAGUAUACCAAUAAACAGCUUCGUACCUAUUAACCAGCAUCAUUCAGUGGGCCUCGGAUGCUUCGUAUGUUACGAAGUUUUGCUCAUAUGAUUUAAGCAGUGAUUAAGGGCGCAGCUUUCUUUAUAUUUUCCUGGUGUUCUAAAUUAGUGAUACUCUAGAAUUGUAAAAGUCAACCUGAAAAUGUGAAAACUUUGCCGGUGGUCGAAAGGAGCGGGUCAUUGGGAGGUAUUAACUCUCCGUGACCGUGAGUUGUUUCCCUAUUCACAGCGGUAAUUUGUAUUUGUAAAAAUGGUGCCCAGCUGAUUUUCACUGCACAACUUGUAAUUGUUCGAGGAAAAUAUGGCGCACGGUUCGUUAAUUGUUCGAGGAAAAUAUGGCGCACGGUUCUUUAUUAUCGGUUCUUUAUUAUCGAACCGAUUUAUUAAUGCGAUAAUUCUUUUUGUCACUCGCUAUCUUGGACGUUAAUUCUUAAGAGAAACUUUUGGUUUUGUCAUUUUCGAGGACCCGAUUCGAUAUGCCAUUGCAAAGCAGUGUAGGUGAGAGUCAUAACUAAUUUAAUGGAAUUUCUUUUCGGGUAUUCCUUAUGGUUACUUUUGUAAGUUCUGCCUAUAGCGCCGGGAGGCUUUCCUCGUGGGGGCGUUGGUCGGAUUAGCCCGGUAGUGGCGCAAGGAAGUGUUAGUGACUUAAUUCUUGCCUAGCUCAUGCUGCCCCGAAGAGCUCCUCUUGAUAGUUUUGCUAGCCCGUGUUUACAGGUGGUAAUCGGCACAAGGAGUAGUCUUGCAUCACUCGGCCAUGUCUCAAAAUUGCUGAAAAUGCUGACCACUCAGCCAACCCCUUUCAAUGUAAUAAGAAAUCUCUUACUAGCUUUGAAAUUUGUCUUGUAGUGGUAUCUUGUAACCUUACAAACUUGGAGGCGUUGCAUACUUAACUGCAUCUGGAACCAAAGGAGCUAAAAUACCGCGCAAAAAUAAGUUUCUGAACCUCCCAUAAGCACAAUUGAUUUAUAUACUUCAAAAUGUGUAAGUUUUCUGUUAAGCACCUCACAACUUGUAUCCCUAUGAAACCUAGUUGGCAAAUUCUGUACUUGAAUUGAUGAACAAUAACUGAGCUUAAUCUUUCCCACCCUCUUCCACUUGUCGAAUAAUUCAACUUUAUUCGAAUCCUAAUAACAGCUUCGUUGCAGGUGGCGUGCUGAUCGGUUCCUUGUGGCCACUUCUGCUGACUCUGGACGGUCCUCGGCUCCCUCCGGGAAGUGCUGCGGCCGGUCCAGACCCGUCUUGUGUCCACCUUCAGGGUCUCUACCUUCGGGAUUUGACGGCGGCCGGAAGUGGUGUUCUUGUACAGGUUUUGUCAGACUUGAAGACUAGCAGGACGCUGGUUAUUAAGCAGUUUUGUAUUAAGAGUUCGUUGGACUCCCCAAGUGAUUAAAAUUACUUUAUUUA